rnacentral:rRNA from 1 species
GACGAACGCUGGCGGCGUGCCUAAUACAUGCAAGUUGAGCGCUGAAGGUUGGUACUUGUACCAACUGGAUGAGCAGCGCACGGGUGAGUAACGCGUGGGGAAUCUGCCUUUGAGCGGGGGACAACAUUUGGAAACGAAUGCUAAUACCGCAUAAAAACUUUAAACACAAGUUUUAAGUUUGAAAGAUGCAAUUGCAUCACUCAAAGAUGAUCCCGCGUUGUAUUAGCUAGUUGGUGAGGUAAAGGCUCACCAAGGCGAUGAUACAUAGCCGACCUGAGAGGGUGACAGGCAACAUCGGGACGGAGAUACGGCCCGGACGCGUAGGGGAGGCAGGAGUGGGGAAUAGAGCACAAUGGGCGGAGGGAGGAUGGAGCAAGGCGGCGUGCGGGAUGACGGGUGUCGGGUUGUAGACAGAUGGAGCCUGUGACGAAGCGUGAGUGACGGUAAUGGGUAAAGAAGCACCGGCUAACCACGUG